rnacentral:snoRNA from 1 species
AGACCAUGAUGCGGACAUUUUCUUAAUAGCUCCUUGAAUCUUUCCCAAGUUUCAUAUAAGGAUUCCCCGUCCUCUUGUGAGUAU